UAUAAUCUUUACUUCAAAAGAAGAAGAAAGAUAUGGCUAGGGCUAACUUGGUUCUACUUCUAGUUGUCUCUCUUCUUGUCCUGAUUUCAGUAGCUGAGAGUAAACGAUUUGCUGUAGGAUUUGCGGAGAAGAAGACUUCCUCGCUGGUCUGUAAUUCUGUUUAUGGUGCAGAGGAAGGUGAUACUUGCACUAGUGUCGCUCAAACGUUCAAACUGAGUCUCGAUGCCUUCCUUUCCAUUAACCCUAAUAUCAAUUGCGACGGCUUCUUUGUGGGUCAAUGGCUCUGUACUGAUGGUGCUCCGAAGUGAGUUACUGCGUACAUUCUCAUAUACGUUCAGUUGAGGACAAAUGAUUGUAUGAAUAAAAAGGAUGGGCUAGCUGAGCUUCUAUCACCUCACUCAAAGCAUUGUUUUCUCAUACCAAAAAAAAAAAAGGCAUUGUUUUCCCCUACUUGUUAAUUUUGUUUAAUAAAUGGUAAUUGCCUUUCAAUAGCCACUGUUGGUCUUAUAAUGCAA